UCCAAACCCUAAAACUAAAAAUACCUGGUUUUUUUUUUCUGUUGCUUGUUAUGAAAAAGAUUCCAAAUCACACAGCUCCAACCAGUAGAAAAGUCACACUGCUGAUCAAAAAGUGAGUCCUUCACUCUGCCAGCAUCUCUUUAGUACAAAUGCAUUUUCCUAAAAAGCCCUGUUAAGUUUAGCAUCCUUACGAGAGCCUUGGAACAUCAAUACUUGUCUUGUGUUCUGCUGACCUUCCUUCAACCCUAAAAUAGCUGUUCCUACCCCACUGAAGUUUCUAUGUACAGAAAGACAUUUGAUGCCAGCUACAUUUGAAGAAAAUAAACUAUAUUUAAAGCUAUUAGUCAGUAUCACAGAUAGGUCCUGCCCUCCCCCUUCCCCCUGGGAUGGUUUGCCCUUUUUAAAUGGAGUCGGUUUGGAUAGAGUAUGUGUUUCUUGCAUGCCUGUUCUGAAGGGGCCUCCCACAGAUGCUAUUUAACAUAUCCUCUAUUAAUUAAAGGAGUGGUCAGUGUAUUUUAUCUGUUCAUCUAGGUGGAGCUGUCAAAGUGGAUUUGGAGCUGGAUUUGAAGACCAUUUUAAUUUGUAAAUUUGGUGGAUGCAUGGCUGCAGGUUUCCACUGAAAAAAUGGAGGCAUUGCAUUUGAUACAUCCUCUGGACUAAAAGUUUCCUGGCAUCAGUGAAAUAAAGUAGGAAGGUAUUUUUGUAUUAGCAGGCAGUGGCUGCUGCUGGAGGAGGACUGUUCUAGUGCUAUAAAAUGACUCCAGAUGGAGACUCUCUUUGCUGUUCACUGACUUCAGGCUCAAGCAAAGUUGAAAUGUAAUGCUUGUCCUGAUGUCACCAUCCUCAGCCAAGAAAUAUGGGAAUGUGUUUGACUCAGGGAGCAGCGACGAUCUCCCCAUAUGAUGUCUGAUUUAUCGGAUGUCUGCUAAAACAAUGGUUUUGGAAUAUUUUUUAGAUUUUCUUUAAGAAAAGGAAGAAAAUGAAGGUGAAUGAAAUGGGACUGGUGCUCUGGGCUUGACAGGCAUAGCACAGAAAUCAAUCCCUACAGAUUUGGCGUUAACAGUCAUACUGAAUAUCUGGAUCCAGUGCUCCUGGGAGAUCAUUUUUCCAUCUGCCUGGGAAAGUCACGGCCGCUCUCUCCCUACAGCUGACAUGGAGAUGCAGCCAAAGGUUCUUCCUGGCAGCCUGAGCCAGCAAGGGCUCUGGGUGCCUACCACCAUAAGGACCAAAUGCUAUGAAAAAAAUUAAAAAUAGAAGACUUAUGUGGUGCUCACUACACAGGGAAGUGAAAAACCUGUUUUUUUCCGGUGUGCAGAGGUACAUCACUGCUGCGGUGGCAAUGAGGUGAGGGACUGAGCAAAUCUAGGGUGAGCUCGGUCCUGCUCAGGACAUCUCUGCAGAGCAUCUGGUAUCCAGACAUGCUUCUGCAGCAGCAGGAGGGCAUCCAGUCUCUGAAGAUUAUACUGCUGCUGGAAUACACAGCAGCAGUAGUAGAAUAAGGAUUUUCUGUGCCUUAGUGCUGAAAUGCUUCAGGAUUUACCUAUCAAGCUCUGAAAUCCAAGCAAAGAAAAUCCUGGCUCUGGUGAAGCACUGAACAGAUGCUCCCUCUUAUUCUUCCUGGUUUGGAAGAGGCAAAGGAAGUUAUCUAUUAUCUUAUCUAAGCUAAACUGCAUAGUAAGAAUCUUUGCAUCAUCCGCCCAUUUUGUUCUUGCAGAGAACUGUUUCUCACGUAUGAGACAAUUUGUGCACAUUUCGUGUUUUCUUUGGAAAUGGCUUGCACUAAGCUAAACUUUUAUUCCCUUUCUCUGUAGUCUGCCACUUUUUCUGCUCUUUUCUAAGUGACCCACACUCUAACAGCUUGUCCUGGCUGCUGUGCUAUUGUUCCGUGCACAUGUGCUAUCACCACUAUUGCUGCCGGGCUGUUUGUCUUUUGAUUGCAUGUGGCUGGAAGAUUAAGCCUCAAUGAGCCCCGUUACUUUCUCAUGGGUUUUCCUCUCUUCCAGCAGCUCAGCCUGGCAGGUGACUUUGCCAUUGUUGUGCCGUCUGAGGCUACAUACGCACGUAGGAAGUUCACAGGGGAGAUUUUCUUCGUUUUCCUUUCCUGCCCAGGGAUCUGUAAACACUCUGUCAAAGCAAGCGUUCGGCUUUUCUGUUGUCCUCACGGCAGCGCGCUGAGGGGCAGCUGUGCGCCAUGGUUUUCCUCAAGAAAACUUGGAGAUUUCAAGGAGGGGAGUUGUAAUCCAUUGUUGGAUACCGGUUCCAUCGGGUUUCCUUCUCCACGGAAAACAGACGACAGGAAAGCAAUUGCAGGAGCAGAUGUGACUUGUGACGUAAAUGUUACUUCUGGCCCUUCUGUGCCUUUUUUUUUGACUAAUCCAGUAGGGUGAUUCCAAAGCAAGUCAGCUGGUACGUGAGACACAUGAGCCUAUGGUGGUCAUUUCAAGCUUUUCCUUGGCUCUGUAAGAUCCAGGGACAAUUUGCGAUACCUUACCAACCAUUUUUAAAAAUAAAAUUAGCAAGUAAGAGGAAUUUUUGGUAUUUCAAUAUGUGCAUCCUGUGUAAUUGCCUGCGUGAAUCCCGCUGCUCUGUCCACUGACUGAUGUCUCUGUUGUGAGCAAGGUAUUGAA